UAAGACGAACCGUGCGAACGUUAUUCGGAAUCACUGGGCUUAAAGCGCGUGUAGGCGGAUGGGGACGUCGGUUGCUGAAAUCCCCCGGCUCAACCGGGGAACGGGCACCGAAACGCCCCGUCUGGAGGGACGUAGGGGGACCUGGAACUUCCGGUGGAGCGGUGAAAUGCGUUGAGAUCGGAAGGAACGCCCGUGGCGAAAGCGAGGUCCUGGACGUUUUCUGACGCUGAGACGCGAAAGCUAGGGUAGCGAACGGGAUUAGAUACCCCGGUAGUCCUAGCUGUAAACGAUGGGCACUGGGUAGAGGGCUCGCCGAUGGGCUCUCUGCCGAAGGGAAACCGUGAAGUGCCCCGCCUGGGGAGUAUGGUCGCAAGGCUG
rnacentral:rRNA from 1 species